UUUAAUUUAUACCAAGUAUGAAGAUGAACAGAACAUCAAAUUAAAUUUUUUUGGCAAAAUAAAACUCCCAAUCUUGGAUUUAAAGACAAUCUUUUCUGAGUAUAUUAAUUAUUUUCCUAAUUAAAUAGAUUUCACUAGAGCAUACAGAGCAACAAAAGAAGAUAAAAGUUUGAGAAUAAUUGCGAAGGCACAUAAUUUUGGUACUGAGCCCUAGCCAAAAUAAUCCCUCGUGUGAAGAAAGGAGCAGUUUACACAUUUUUUGUAAACUAGUUCACGCCUGUGCUUCGUGAAAGCCUUUGCUUCCCGUCAGCUUUUCGUUGCCUUUUCUGUUAACCACCGGCGUUAAAUUCCUUGAACGCUGCAAAACUUUGAAGUUGGAAUACGUGUUUAGAAAAUGUGCUAAUUUUUGCGUGGCGAUUUUGCAGAAUGGGGCCCCUGAUUGAGUGCGAAGUAAAGUUUAAUAAAUUUUUUAAGCAUCCCAUUUCCGCUUGUAUAUUUCUGAAUGGGUUACGCACAAAGACCUUUAAACACAAGCCAAAUAUCAUAGCCGAUAUAUUUAUUAGCGCUUUACUAUUAAUACUACUCCGCCAUUAUUUGAGCUUGUUAAACUAAAAAGCUUUGCGCUGAAAGGGACGCUUAUUAAAAUUUUGUAGGUCGGAAAUAAGAACCUUCACUUCGUUGCUAAACUAAUUUUUAGAUAAAAUUGAUCUUACCCCGGAGAGUGCAGAAAAUGGAUCCCUAAUCUCUUAUCUCUUGAAAAAAAUUGUUCGCUUUUAAUACGUAUUAUCGUCUAUUCUGUGUUGCGCGAAUCAAGAAGGUUUUUAUAGAUGCGGCCUGUGCACCUGUAGUUUUGCUAAAUAGUCUUUACUAUAACUUUUUAUUUAUUAAACAUUUGAAAUCUUCAAACUUGGUUAACUACAGAAGAGCUAAAAAGUUCACUUCUAACAAGCUGCCAGUUUGUUUAACACUUGGACCCCAUGGACUCUCUCUCACUUGGAAGUCAAUUUAUGAAAGACAUGCAUAUAACUGGUUAUCAUUGGGGACUCCUAUAAGAGCUAGCAGUUGAAAAGUUGUAACCAAAGGAUCUCAAAAAUUAUCCUUUCAAAAAUUGCAAUUUAAAGUCGAAAGGGACCUCACGGCAAUCUUUUUUUAACAUAUAAUAACGCUACUCUUUACUUCUGCCGAAAAGAAGUCUAACAAAUCGCAUGAAAUACCUAACAGGAAACAAUUAACAACAAAACACAAGACUACAAUAUAUUUUUAACUCAAAUAAUAGUACAUCAAAUAGUUAACAAAACCACAACUACUACCCUACAGCGAAAAAUAGACAAUAAAAUUACCCAUAAACUAGUAUAACAAAAGACGAUCAUAAAAUGCAAUAGACUCUAAUGAAUAUA